rnacentral:rRNA from 1 species
UACGGGGGGGGCAAGCGUUGUUCGGAAUUACUGGGGGUAAAGGGUUCGUAGGCGGUGCGGCAAGUCGGGAGUGAAAUCUCUGGGCUUAACCCAGAGGCUGCUUCCGAAACUGCUGUGCUUGAGUGUGGGAGAGGCGCGUGGAAUUGCAGGUGUAGCGGUGAAAUGCGUAGAUAUCUGCAGGAACACCCGUGGCGAAAGCGGCGCGCUGGACCACUACUGACGCUGAGGAACGAAAGCUAGGGGAGCAAACAGG